rnacentral:rRNA from 1 species
ACGUAGGGUGCGAGCGUUUAUCGGAAUUACUGGGCGUAAAGCGUGCGCAGGCGGUUUUGUAAGUCAGAUGUGAAAUCCCCGGGCUUAACCUGGGAACUGCAUUUGAGACUGCAAGGCUGGAGUGUGGCAGAGGGGGGUAGAAUUCCACGUGUAGCAGUGAAAUGCGUAGAGAUGUGGAGGAAUACCGAUGGCGAAGGCAGCCCCCUGGGCCAAUACUGACGCUCAUGCGCGAAAGCGUGGGGAGCAAACAG